ensembl:lncRNA
AUGAUGUAUCUGGCCCCAUUCUGGGCGCUGUGAUCUAGCCGAGAACUAGGCAGCAAGGUGCCUACCAUCAAGGAGACUGCAUUCUAGUGUGGGGUGAAAGAUACCAAAGGAAGCCAAGAAGUCCAUAAGAUAAUUUCAUCUCAGGUGAGGAGAAUGUUAAAAAUGAUCUUACGUGAAAUCUGACUAAGUGAGGACCAUACCUCCAAUGUCUAAGGAACAGUUUUAGGCUCUCUGGAUUUAACUGUGGUAAAGAAACUGCCUGCCAGUGCAGGAGACAUAAGAGACACUUGUGUGAUCCUGGGUUGGGAAGAUUCCCUGGAGGAGGGCAUGGCAACCCACUCCAGUAUUCCUGCCUGGAGAAUCCCUUGGACAGAGGAGCCUGGCAGGCUACAGUCCAUAGGGUCGCAGAGAGUCAGACACGACUGAAACAACUUAGCAAAGCAAAUAAAAUAUUCAUGUUUUGA